CCUGCAGCCAAUAUGGCCCAGAGCACAUGGCAGGGAAAGCUGUGUGGCUAGGCUGUCAAUAAGGUCUGCCUGGUUGCCCACCCACACUGUGCCCCCUAAUUGUCUGUGGCACCCCACACUUUGGCAAGUGGGACCAUGAGUGGUCAGUAAACCAAAAGUCCCGCCUAGAGGGAGUGGCCACAACAGCCAAAGUCUAUAAACAGACACACAAGAGGUUUCCAUAUUGCCUUGGCCUGUAGUUCUCCUUGCCAGGCAACUUGUCACCUUUUAAAUGAAGAAACAUGCUUGAGUCAACUUAGAACAUUUAUACCUAAAUGACAUUCAUGUACAGAGAGACGUUCACGUAUGUAGCAGCAUUAUAAAUGCUGCAUAUUUCAUUGGAACUCCAUGAAUCACUGACAGUUCGCUUUUAAAGGUUCUGCUUCACUACAGAAAGGAAGGAAGCAAGCAAGGAAGGAAGACCCAGACACCAAAAACCAGGAAUAAAAAAACCUUUAUUCUCAUCCCAUUGACACUUAGAGCUCCACUAACUUUAACACGUUAUUCUGAUGUACACCAGAACAAGAGAAGAACCAAAUUAAAUGUACCUCCAACUAGAGUAAUCUUGGGCUUAGCAAGAGGCUUGGAGGAGAGACAGCCAGGACAGCCAACAACAACUGACCCAAAUGAUAUUCCAUAUCAUAUAACAUUGUUCUCAGCAAUAAAACUGAGAGUUUUUCCAAGCUUCCCUUCCAAUUCUCUCCUCCAUUCUGGUACAUGGAUUGAGUGACCCCAUGGGGGCUUAGCUGCCAGCCGGGGUCAGCCCAGAGGUAGAAAAUGGUUCAGAUUUUUGUGGAAGCCAAAAGCUGAUGACAUUUGAGAUGAUUACCUCUGCACUAGAUGAUUUAUGCUUACUUUACGCUGAAUGGAAAGAAGCAGAGACUGCUAGGACACUUCAUAUGAUUCAUAAGAUCAAUGCAGGUCCUGUCUUUCUGUGUGGUGGCAGAAUAAUACAGUAUAGAAGACACUGGAGUGGCUUCUCUAUCCAGACCAACUUAAGACUUUUCAGGGAAGAUCUUGAUGUAAAGUAUGAUAUAAAAUAUUUUCAUAAAUUAAAGCUUUAUUACA